GAUGAACGCUAGCGGAAGGCUUAAUACAUGCAAGUCGAGCGGUAGGUGGCUUCGGCCAUUGAGAGCGGCGCACGGGUGAGUAACGCGUACAUGACCUGCCUGUCAGAAGGGGAUAGCCCUGGGAAACUGGGAUUAAUACCCUAUGGGAUUGAUAUUAUGAAUGAUAUCAAUUAAAGUUGAGGCGCUGACAGAUGGAUGUGCGUCUGAUUAGCUGGUUGGUAGGGUAACGGCCUACCAAGGCGACGAUCAGUAGGGGGCGUGAGAGCGUGGUCCCCCAGACGGGUACUGAGACACGGACCCGGCUCCUACGGGAGGCAGCAGUAAGGGAUAUUAGUCGAGGCCCGCAAGGGUGAACCAGCCAUGCCGCGUGGAGGAUGAAGGCCCUAUGGGUUGUAAACUUCUUUUGUACGGGACGAAACUCCUGGUCGUGACCGGGAUUGACUGUACCGUGCGAAUAAGCAUCGGCUAACUCCGUGCCAGCCGCCGCAGUAACAC
rnacentral:rRNA from 1 species